CCUGGCGGCUGUAGCGCGGUGGUCCCACCUGACCCCAUGCCGAACUCAGAAGUGAAACGCCGUAGCGCCGAUGGUAGUGUUGGUCC
rnacentral:rRNA from 1 species